rnacentral:rRNA from 1 species
CAGUCGCCACGGUAAUACGUAGGGGGCCAGCGUUGUCCGAAGUUACUGGGCGUAAAGAGCGCGUAGGCGGGUCUUUAAGUGAGGGGUGAAAGGUUCGGGCUCAACCCGGACACUGCCUUUCAUACUGGGGACCUCGAGUGUGGGAGAGGCGAGUGGAAUUCUUGGUGUAGCAGUGAAAUGCGUAGAUAUCAAGAGGAACACCCAUGGCGAAGGCAGCUCGCUGGCCUAUAACUGACGCUGAGGCGCGAAAGCUGGGGGAGCAAACAGGAUUAGAUACCCCAGUAGUCCCUGUCUCUUAUAU